rnacentral:rRNA from 1 species
GCUUGUCUCAAAGAUUAAGCCAUGCAUGUCUAAGUAUAAACACCUUUAUACUGUGAAACUGCGUACAGCUCAUUAAAUCAGUAAUAAUUUAUUUGAUGGUGACUUACUACAUGGAUAACCGUGGUAAUUCUAGAGCUAAUACAUGCUAUCAAGCCCGACUUCUUGAAGGGUUGUAUUUAUUAGACUUAAGCCAAUAUUCCUUGUGUCUAUUGCGAUGAUUCAUAAUAACUGAUCGAAUCUCAAAUUUGAGAUAAAUCAUUCAAGUUUCUGCCCUAUCAGCUUUCGAUGGUAGUGUAUUGGACUACCAUGGCAGUAACGGGUAACGAAGAAUUAGGGUUCGAUUUCGGAGAGGGAGCAUGAGAAACGGCUACCACAUCUAAGGAAGGCAGCAGG